rnacentral:rRNA from 1 species
UACGUAGGGCGCAAGCGUUUAUCCGGAAUUAUUGGGCGUAAAGAGCUCGUAGGCGGUUUGUCGCGUCUGCCGUGAAAGUCCGGGGCUCAACUCCGGAUCUGCGGUGGGUACGGGCAGACUGGAGUUCGGCAGGGGAGACUGGAAUUCCUGGUGUAGCGGUGAAAUGCGCAGAUAUCAGGAGGAACACCGGUGGCGAAGGCGGGUCUCUGGGCCGAUACUGACGUGAGGAGCGAAAGCGUGGGGAGCGAACAGG